CUAUGCGCCUUGCCAGCCCGCUCAGGUGUGCCAGCCGCCGCGGUAAUACGUAGGUGGCAAGCGUUAUCCGGAUUUAUUGGGCGUAAAGGGAACGCAGGCGGUCUUUUAAGUCUGAUGUGAAAGCCUUCGGCUUAACCGGAGUAGUGCAUUGGAAACUGGGAGACUUGAGUGCAGAAGAGGAGAGUGGAACUCCAUGUGUAGCGGUGAAAUGCGUAGAUAUAUGGAAGAACACCAGUGGCGAAAGCGGCUCUCUGGUCUGUAACUGACGCUGAGGUUCGAAAGCGUGGGUAGCAAACAGG
rnacentral:rRNA from 1 species